rnacentral:rRNA from 1 species
GUCCUGGCCGUAAACGAUGGAUACUAGGUGUAGGAGGUAUCGACCCCUUCUGUGCCGGAGUUAACGCAAUAAGUAUCCCGCCUGGGGAGUACGAUCGCAAGAUUGAAACUCAAAGGAAUUGACGGGGGCCCCGCACAAGCGGUGGAGUAUGUGGUUUAAUUCGACGCAACGCGAAGAACCUUACCAAGGCUUGACAUUGAGUGAAAAUGCUAGAGAUAGCAUCCUUUCCUUCGGGAAACACGAAAACAGGUGGUGCAUGGCUGUCGU